UUCUGUUGAUUAAAGCUCCGGCGGUUAGAGAUGGGCAUGCGUACCAUUAGCUAGUUGGUGAGGUAACGGCUCACCAAGGCUACGAUGGUUAGGGGGUCUGAGAGGAUGAUCCCCCACACUGGUACUGAGACACGGACCAGACUCCUACGGGAGGCAGCAGUGAGGAAUAUUGGUCAAUGGGCGAAAGCUGAACCAGCCAUGCCGCGUGAAGGAUGAAGGCCCUCAGGGUUGUAAACUUCUUUUGUACGGGACGAAACCCUUGAACGUGUUCGAGGCUGACGGUACCGUACGAAUAAGCAA
rnacentral:rRNA from 1 species